CAGACAAGGGUCACCUGCAGUAGUUGUACAAAUACAAUCGUUACUGACAAGGGUCUCCUGAAGUAAUUGUACAAAUACAAUUGUUUCAGGCAAGUGUUACCUGAAGUAGUUGUACAAGUACAAUCGUUAUAGGCAAGGGUCACCUGCAGUAGUUGUACAAAUACAAUCGUUACAGACAAGGGUCACUUGAAGUAGUUGUACAAAUACAAUCGUUACAGACAAGGGUCACCUGCAGUAGUUGUACAAGUACAACCGUUACUGACAAGGGUCACCUGAAGUAGUUGUACAAGUACAAUCAUUACAGACAAGAGUCACCUGAAGUAGUUGUAAAAGUACAAUCGUUACUGACAAGGGUCACCUGAAAUAGUUGUACAAAUACAAUUCUUAUUGACAAGGGUCACCUGAAGUAGUUGUACAAAUACAAUCGUUACAGACAAAGGUCACCUGAAGUAGUUGUACAGUAAACAUGUUAAUAUUUGUAAGUAAACAGUUUUAAUUGUGAUGGUUUUGAAGGGACUUUGACUCAGUCGAGUAAACAACAUCAACUAUUUCGCAAGUGAUCACAUUGUAUGCUACAUAACAUGAUAACAUGACCUUAAACCAAUACCUUUGUUCUAUUCUAUAUAUGGGAUUCUACAGUGGAUGUCUGUUUCUCCUUGUUUUAAGAAAUAAUAACUUCAUUAGAAAAGUUUCUUUUAUUCUGAAUUCUCAAGGAAGUCCCACUCUCCACAUGAAAAUUCCCCCAGUUUUUGUAUAUUUUAGCUACACCAUGUAUAUGUAUCAAGAAUUGAAAUAAUGUCUGAUUAGCCGAUGAAAAAUAAAAACUAGCUACUGUGUUUCACUUGUUUUACAAUUCAGUUUUUAUAUAAACAUUUUAAAUUCGAUUUUCGUAUCCCACAGGUUCCUUUGAAGUUUCUGCCAUCAGUGGGAUUAAUCCAAGUCUCUGACGUCACUCUCAAAGUUGAACGUAGGAGCCUGUAGAAACGGAGAUUAGGAUUUUUAAAUAAAGUGUCUGAUCGCUCCAACAAAAACAACAAAUUUCUAUAGUUCUGGUUUUUUGCCGUUGAUCGACAAUUAUUGUCGGUAAAAUGAUAAGAACAUCAAGGUGUCGCUUCACAGAAAUCUUUUAGAUAGUGAUACUUCUAUUAUAUUUUACUUCUGUUACUGAAUAUAAAUGAUUGUUACUUUUUUUAUGUCAGAGAGGUUAGCUUUGAAACGCAUAUUUUAAAUGAAUGGUGUUAAAUAUGUAAUUGUGUUGUAUGUUUUACGUAAUUCCAUAUAUUUGUGUAUGAUGUGAUGAAAAUA